rnacentral:rRNA from 1 species
UUUAUUGGAGAGUUUGAUCCUGGCUCAGGAUGAACGCUGGCGGCGUGCCUAAUACAUGCAAGUCGAGUGAAUGGAUGAGGAGCUUUCUCUUAUGAAGUUAGCGGCGGAUGGGU